UGCCUUUGGAGACAUUUAGGAGGAUACCCAAGAAGGUGGAGCAGUCUUUGUGUAAGCAGUGGACCAGGCGGCUGAAGAGUUGCCAUAGACUUUCAGGGGAUCACCAAAUCUGUGCAAGUCUUUCAGAUGAACAAGCCCACCCUCUGAACUGUUUAAUCCAGGUAGGAUUGCUGAAAGUGUCAUUCAAGGUCUUCCUCCAGUUGGGAUUCUUCAGUUAUUCCUGAGCCUUUUCUGGGGCUGUGCUGAUGUCUGUAUAGCCAGAGGUGGUCCAGUCCAAAUACUUAUAAAUACAAGUUUAAAUCCCACAUCUUAGGUCAGUGGGUACAUCCAGUCCAGGUAUUUCUCAAUGCCACCCCAUCCUUGUAAAUCCUUUUAUUCCCUUUUUCUUUGAUUUCUCCUAAAUGCUACAGUGAUCUCUCUAUUUGCUUCUUUAUUUUGCUAGAGUGCCUUUUCCAGACCUAUGUUCCUUAGAUGCAGACACACAAAAUAUUUUAUACUUCUAUGGCACCUUCCAUUGAAGCAAGGCCCUUUUAGAAGAGCUGGAAGAGAAGGAAUUAUCUCCAAUUUACAUGGCUGAGCAAACUCAGAGAGACAGCCUGAUUUGCCUGAGGAUGCACAAAAGUCAGCAGAAGGAAGGAAAAAAACCUGAACAUUUAUCUCCUAUCUCCCUAUAGCUUUUUCUUUUUUAAGUAUAUUUCCUUUGCUUAUUCGUGACACCUUUAAAAACACCAAAAAUCUUCUGACCUUCUUAUGAAAAAUAACAGACAAACAUCUGGUAGCAAAAAGAUCAAACAAACUCAUUUUCUAUAGAAUCUGUCUGAUUCUCUCAAGGUCUGCUGCUGAGCUAGCUCCCCUGCCUCACUCAGGCAGCAUUAAGAAGCUCCUUUCUCCUCUGAGACCACAGGAGGUUUCACAUUAUGUUGUUAACCUCCCUCAGAUCAUCCCCUCCAUGCACAAUCCCAGUCACAUUUACAUGCAGACAUAAUGUCACUCAGCCCACUUUAUGCCACUUACAUCUCCCUUGUUGCUAUGGGGAACACUGAUAAGGAACCAAUUAGCAAACAAAAUAUUUGAGGCCGUGUGUGAGAGCCACACUGCUCGGUGGAUUUGUGUGUCAUAGGCAGAGACAUUUCAUUUGGCAUUUGUCCUUACCUAGCUGAGCUCCUUCCACUGCAGCCUCAGCUACAUUCUGUGUAGUCAAAACAUGCUCUUCUGGGGAUUUAGAGGCUUAGAUGUGCAACUGUAUGUGACCCCAGGGAAUUUUUACAGCUCUCGGGAGAAGCGGGAGAGCUUGGAAAGUGAUUUUGCAGCAUGAAAGCGCCAAGAGCACCAUCCAGUGCCUGAGCUGAGUAAACACACAAGAACUCGGUGGCUUUGGGACAGAGGCAGCUCUGCACAUCCCAGGGUCCAGCUGCACCCGGUGGGAUGCACGAGGAGCUCGUAGGAAGAGGCUAAAGUCAGUGAUAGAAGGAACUUAGAGGGGAAGGCUGGCAGAGCUGUGAGCCUUUCAGGAGGACAGGAGACAACUGAGAAGGUCACAUCUCUUAAAGAAGAACUGGAUUCUGAGUUGGAGUUACUGAUUGAGACAGCAAGAGAUAUAAAGAAGAAGUGGAGGUGGCAAUAGAUGGGGCCAGUUAAGAAAGGUAGGUGAAUUUAAUCCAUGAUGGAGAGGAGCUACUGCAGAGAGAGAAAACUGGGCCAGAUACUUAUCCUGUUAUCCUUCCCCUUUGCAGAGUUGAAUCAGCAGAAAGAGACUUGGAGGGUGCAUUGGCAGCUGAGAAAAUAAGGGAGAAGUGACCUCAGCUGCCACUGCACAGUCUCAUCAGCCUGGUAUUGUUUGACAAAUAUAGGUAGUCCUGCAUUUCAAGAAUUACAAUAAUUUGGACAAAGGUGUUGCACAGAUGUGUGCACUAAGUAGUAAUUUUUAGUACAUAUGGCUGCAGGCUGUUAAUGGGCUAGAGAGAAGGAACUAAUAGGAGAACAAGGAGUCCAUGGGGCUAAAAAUGGGCACUGACAAAAAUUAAUGUUGUCUGUAAAGAACUGAUACCCAAAUAGACAUCCAAGAAAAAGGAUGCAACUUUUCUGUGGACUAGUAGCUGUGCAAUAAUCUGUGGAAACUCUAGGUAAGCAAGGAAAUAUGAAUUUGGUAUAUUAUGAACCAGAUAUUUAUUAAUCAGAUAUGGAAAGUGCUCCAGUUUAGCACGAUAUUUGUGGUAACAUAUCACUGAUAUAUCCUCCCUAAAACAAGACUUUGGGCAUAAUUUGGAAAUGCUGUAAUCCAAGACAGCUCCUCUGUUGUGUUCAGUGUUCCCAGGAACAGUUUAGCAUAUGUUUGCUCUUACUCUUUUUAUAUUGAACUUGCAGAGCAAAACUCACUUCUCUGAUUAAUAUUAAGCAGUGUUUUGUUUGUGCCCUGUGGCAGAAGUGCCCAGAUGGAGUGGGCUGGACACUGAAAACACAAGAAGUGUUUAAUGUUCUGUGGAGGUCUGUUAAAGUUGUCUGAAUAAAACAUCUGGUAUCAAAUAUUUGGAUAAAUCAGUUUCUGCAAGUAUUUGGACCUGCUCUGGGACUGUGCUUUGCUCCAGCUUUGCAUUCCCUCUCUUCCUUCCUUGUUGCUAGAGCCAAUAGAUGAUGGUUUAUUGCCUGGUGCAACCCAUUAACGUCCCUUUGUUGGGGCUUGGCAAUUAGCUGAGCAGAAAGAGCGUAAAAAUCACUUUGACAUCUGUGGGGUUGAAAUGGCAACACCGACUUAAGAUUUCCCUGAAAGGUUUUUUUUAUCUAUCCACAAGGUGAUGGAGAAAGAAGAAAAAUUAUCCAGAGGCUUUGGGAAGAUAUUGUCUGAUGUGUCUGCAGAGUGGGACCCUGUUUGAGAGGUUUUGUCUGUAUAAAAUGAGCCAGCCCAGCACAGGGCCCUGGUGGGGAGCUCUCCAUGCAACCCCUCCCUGCCAGGGGGUGAGUGAGUGCUACCCCACUGCUCAGCACUGCCAAAUGCCACCAGCAGUCCAGCCUCAUGUGCAAGGAAAACUCCUGCACAGCUGAGGAAUGGGAAGGGAAAACAGGAGCAGUUGUGUGGCACAGGACUGAUGCCACUCAGCAGCUGGAGGUGCCGUAUUUCAGUCACACAACAUUCCAAGCUCAUCCCACUGCUGGGCACAGCGAGCAGGGGCAGCUCUCACAUCACCAGCUGUGACUGCACAGCUGACUCAAGGGCUGGUGCCUAUGAACCCCCAGUUUAGAAGUGUUUGGGGUGAAUCCUUUCACUUUAGGAAGUGUUUCAGCUAAGGAAGGCUCAGUACACAGAGCUGUUGUUAUCCUGGCUGAGACUUUGGACAUUUGGCUUCACUCAUGGACUGAUUUUCCUUUGAGUGGUGUUUUUCCCUGUAAAUUUUACCAAAUUUACCUGCUCAGAGGCUCUGACUUCUGGAGCUAUGACCAAAGCUAUGAAAGAGCAACAACUGGGAAUUCCUAAAUUGCACUCAGAGUAUUGUAAAGCAACUGUUUCAUGUAUAGUAACCAUGAAAAAUAUCUCACAAUGUAACAUUUUCUGCUACUAAGAAAAUAAGGAAUUGUGAGUUGUAUUCCUUUAAGAUGUUUUGCUAUGUUUUGAGGGCUGGAUUUCCUCACUUUCAUCUUGUUUUCAGGCUUGAUGCAUCAUGAAAACUUCAGAGGAGUUAUUAUUGCCUCACACCAAUGAACUUGCAGGAAUUAAAUACCAUAAAUUCUAAAAAUCUGAGUGGGAAUUAUGAACCACUUCCAACAUUAUUGGGGGCCAAUUCAUAUAAACAAACAUAAACAUGAGUCUCAUUUUCUAACAAAAGCAAAAGGUAAGAAUGAAUCUUUAUUAUUUUGUAUUUCUACAUUACCUGCUUGAUUCUCUUCUGGUUUAUUUGUCAUCAACCAGAGAAGAUAUACUUUAUUUAUAAAGCUGUAUGAAAUAUGGGACUUUUUGCCACAUUGAAUGCAUAUUAAGACAUCAUUCAUUUAUGCUUGUCAUGGGCCAUACAAGAGGUCACAUUCUCUUUUUAUUGUCCUUGCUGGAGCAUGGGAAAGAGCUGACAUGCAUUUUAACUCACAUGUUUGCAUGGGCAAGUGCAGAGAAAACUAAUUCUAAAGGAAAAAUAUCUAUUGUAUCACUGGUUCUGGUGAAGGAAAUGUAGAAUUAAAAUUAUCUUUUGGAUUGCUGAGUCCAGUCUUCAGUAGUGAGCCAAGUUUCCAACCUUUUUCAUAAACAGCUUGGUGCUAUUCAAAAAUAUGCUCUUUCCUCCUUGUUGUCUCUCCUAUUCUCCCAGUUUCCCACUUUAUUUGGUGUUUGUUCCAAAUUUUCCUUCUUUUGAUGGGAAAAAAAUCUUAAUUUCCAUGGUCAGUUUAGGCAUGUUUUUCUUGUUCUGUGAAAUGCCUAAAAAAUCCAUUACUGCAGGUACAGGUAUGGCUGUACAGGAAAUAAGGGAGGAAAACCCUUGUAGGAGGAAAAUCUACACUUGGGUAAAUCCUCAAGACUCAAGUAUUGGAAACUAGGCUUUAACAGCACUUAGCAUAAAGUGUUUGUGUAUCUGAUACCACCAGGUUUUUCUGGGACUGGCAAAUGAAUUAUUUAGUAAUGGAAACUGCAUGUGUGUGUGUUUGGCUUCUGUAGGUUCAUGUGAUAGAAAACUGUAAGAGUGUCUGUAGGGAUCACAGCUGCCCAACUUUGUGUCAUAGACCUGUGGCCUAAAAGGGCUCAGAAAUUUCCAGUUAGCUGGGUAGAAGGGAGAAGACAGAGUGGCAAAUCUCAACUUUUAUUGCUAAUGCUUUGUAAAAUAACAUUUAUGGUCUCUAGAUUUGGUUCUGUGCAGAUCUGUGUGACUUAAAAUUUAUUAUACCACUUCAUGUUUGUGCAUCUCUCUCCAGUUCCUGGAUAUGAAUGAAAUUAAAGGUCAAGAUUACCUUUAUGUUAAUAGAUCCAGAUAUACCCAAUAUUUAACUUCCCUGGACAAAGGAAUUUCAUCAAGGGCUGGCUUGUCCUGUUACCAUGUGACAGUGUCAGCCCUGUGUGCUGCAAAGCUUCACGGAGCCUUAGAGAAUAAAAAAGAAAAAAGCCAAGUGUACGCUCAAUGGAAAACAGAUGGAGUUUUCAUUAGAUAUUACUUUUAAUGAUCUGCUUUGAAAGUAAAGAUACACCAUUCUGAGCAGAAGGGCCUCAUAAUAGCUGUGUUUGGGUCCCAGGCUCAUUAACUUAGCUACAGAUAAGCAAGACUGCAAGAUCUUUGUAUCAUUAGAGGUUCCAGUCAAGCUUGCCUACCAUUAUUAGAAUUCCAAACACAGCAGAACUAUUUUGGAGCCUUAACAAUAAUUUAUCCUGAAGAUGUAUCUUUAUUUAAUGAUUCAGAGUUGUUAUUAUGGGCCUGGCAGUCAGUUGCUCAGUUUCUGGAGUAUUACCAUUUAACCUAGGUCAGGAUAAAAACCCUGGAAUAUUCAUUGCGGGGCAGAGCUGAGGGCCUGCUCUUUACAGCCCACUCAGGUGUGACUGUCCCAGAUGGUGUCACUGCCUGGCAGAGGUGACCCCAGCAGUCUAGAAAACCUGAAGAUCCCUCCUAAAAAGAGGAACCCUGCAAUCUGUGCCUGUGGGUACUAAAUCAACUUUUGACAUGUAAAGAACAAUGCAAUCCCAGGGUUUUAGGAGUAGAUGCUUGCUGCCAAACCACAAGAAAUGCUUUUGUCUGGAACUCACGGAGCAGUAACAUAGCAGUGCAGGGUGUACCCUUGUCUGUUAUUCCCUCUGAGCAAUUUCUCAGAGGCUUGUUACCAGGAUUUGGAUAGAUUUCAUGGAACUAGGAGAGAAAUAGGCUUUAAUUUCCUUACAAAAGGAGGGACAGACAAUAGAACUCAGCAAAACAUGUGGCAUUUUUUUUGUUCCUGUCUGGGAGUUAUGCAAGCAAAACCUAGUGCCCAUCUUCAGGCAGUGCUCUCUAAAGUGAGACUCACGUGAGAAAAUUUGUGCUAUCUUUCUUUUGGUGUGAGCUGAUAAAACUGCUUUAUUUCCUCUGCAUUUGUGUAAACACAACCUAUGUCUUCAGCUGAUCUCCAGCUGGGGAGUACAGAUCAGAAUCCAAGUUUCUCAAAGUUCAAGGAAGUUUGGAGUUGAUGUUCUGGCUCACUCUGCAGAGAAAUACCUGCAUGAAUGAAAAAAAAAAAAACCAAAAACCUCUUAUUUUCAUAAGAGACAGACUAGAAGGAUCAAUCUAUCACAAACUGCUAAUUAAACACUGUUCUGGAACCAGGUUUUUCCCACUGUUAGAAACCUUCUUCAACUUCCAGACCAGAGGUAUUGGUUGAUUAGUUUGUUCACAUUUAGUAUUGUGCCAAAGCUGCCUUUUAGCUUAGAUUAUUACACACAAUGUAUUGGAUUUCUCCUGCUUUUUGUGUCUUUCAGAAGAAAAGAAAACAAAAGUUAUGUUCAAGGUCAAAUUAUAUCCACAUAUAAUUUAAGGGUGGGGGAGAAUAAGCAAAAGGAGCAGAUGCCAUUCCGUGGCCUUUUCCUGAUUCAGUGUAUCUUUCUGAGCAUGGGGGGCCAAACCAGAAUGCCUCUUGAACAAGCCAGUUCGAUCAUACU